UAUAACUACAUCUAAAAUAUUGUAAUUGUAAACAUAAAUAUGAAAAACAAGUGUUCAAUUUGAUGUAAUCGCUGCUUAGUAUUUAUUUACACUACUGCAUGUUCUUAAUGACAAAUUUCUAAUGUUAAAUUCAAGCAGGCACGAAACUUCAACGACAAAAUCAUCAAAUUCAAUAUUCCCUCCUCCUCCAUCAACCUCUGCCUGUUUUCACACAUAUUGAAUAAACAAGCUUAGUGGGGACAUAUCACACACCAUGUCGUGGUUCCUUAUGGGGACCAAUGCUAGACCAAGUCUCUAGGUUGUCAGAUACUUAACACACAGUUUCUAUUCAUACACUGAUGUAAGAUGUGCUAUGGGGACGUCGUGAAUGUCCCAGAAUAGAGUGAUAUUUAAUCAAAAGUAACAUCCCUAUGAACAUUAAAAUCUGUCCUGAAUAUCCUAUUACCAUUAUGUUUCUAGAUGCAUUUAAAAAAACAGCUUAUUUACCUGCUUAAAGGGCAUAAAAAGCAACAAACGGUGAGUUAGAAAUAUUCUAGGAGUAAAGUUUAAGUGCUAAACAUGAAUGUACCUGUUGAUUAGUGUCUCAUGGACUCAAAGUUUCAGUCAUCUGCGUCUCUAACAAGACAGCAUGCUGGGAGCUUUCCACAGGAAUGACAGCAUCAGCUGCAUUCAUGGUCAUCUGCAAACAUUUCAAAAUAUGAAAAAAAAGUUUAAGUCCGAUGUUAUCACUGCAUAAUAUUUAAUUACACUAAUGUAUGUUCUUAAUGUCAAAUUUCUAAAGUUAAGUUCAAGCCAACAGGCACGAAACUUCAACGACAAAAUCAUCAAAUUCAAUAUUUCCUCCUCCUCCAUCAACCAUUAAAAUCUGUCCUGAAUAUCCCAUUACCAUCAGCUUUCUAGAUGUAUUACAUAAAACUGCUAGGGACUUCUGAUUCACAAUAGAUUACCAUCAUAACAUAUGUACAGUUGAAACCAGAAGUUUACAUACACUGUAUAAAAAGACACAUAUGCUUUUUUUUCCUCACUGUCUGACAUGAAAUUAGACAAUCACUUUUCCUGUUUUAGGUCCGUUAGGAUUACCAAAAUUAUUUCUAUUUGCUAAAUGCCAGAAUAAUGAGAGAAGGAUUUUUUUAGAACAUUUUUUUAUUACUUUCUUCAAAGUCAGAAGUUUACAUACACUAAGAAUACUAUGCCUUUAAACAAUUUGGGAAAGCCCAGAUGAUGAUGUCAUGUCUUUGGAAGCUUCUGAUAGGUUUAUUGACAACAUUUGAGUUAAUUAGAGACACACACCUGUGGAUGUAUUGUAAGGCACACCUGAAACGCACUGCUUCUUUGUGUAACAUCAUGGGAAAGUCUAAAGAAAUCAGCCAAGAUAUCAGGAAGAGAAUUGUGGACUUGCACAAGUCUGGUUCAUCCUUGGGUGCAAUUUCCAGAUGCCUGAAGGUGCCACGUUCAUCUGUUCAAAUAAUUAUACGCAAGUAUAAACACCAUGGCAGUGUCUAGCCAUCAUACCACUCAGGAAGGAGACAGGUUCUGUGUCCCAGAGUUGAACGUGCUUUGGUCCGAAAUGUGCAUAUCAACCCAAGAACAAAAGCAAAAGACCUUGUGAAGAUGCUGGCUGAAGCUGGUAAGAGUGUGUCUUUAUCCACAGUGAAA